GACGAACGCUGGCGGCGUGCCUAAUACAUGCAAGUCGAACGAGAGCAACCGGUGCUUGCACUGGUCAAUCUAGUGGCGAACGGGUGAGUAACACGUGGGUAACCAGCCCAUCAGAGGGGGAUAACAUCCGGAAACGGAUGCUAAAACCGCAUAGGUCUUCGAACCGCAUGGUUUGAAGAGGAAAAGAGGCGCAAGCUUCUGCUGAUGGAUGGACCCGCGGUGCAUUAGCUAGUUGGUGAGGUAACGGCUCACCAAGGCCGUGAUGCAUAGCCGACCUGAGAGGGUGAUCGGCCACAUUGGGACUGAGACACGGCCCAAACUCCUACGGGAGGCAGCAGUAGGGAAUCUUCCGCAAUGGACGCAAGUCUGACGGAGCAACGCCGCGUGAGUGAAGAAGGUUUUCGGAUCGUAAAACUCUGUUGUUAGAGAAGAACAAGUGCUAGAGUAACUGUUAGCGCCUUGACGGUAUCUAACCAGAAAGCCACGGCUAACUACGUG
rnacentral:rRNA from 1 species